UACGGGGGGGCAAGCGUUGUUCGGAUUUACUGGGCGUAAAGGGCGCGUAGGCGGUCAGCACAAGUCAGUUGUGAAAUCUCCGGGCUUAACUCGGAAAGGUCAACUGAUACUGUGCGACUAGAGUGCAGAAGGGGCAACUGGAAUUCUCGGUGUAGCGGUGGAAUGCGUAGAUAUCGAGAGGAACACCUGCGGCGAAGGCGGGUUGCUGGGCUGACACUGACGCUGAUGCGCGAAAGCCAGGGGAGCGAACGGG
rnacentral:rRNA from 1 species